rnacentral:rRNA from 1 species
AUUGAACGCUGGCGGCAUGCUUUACACAUGCAAGUCGAACGGCAGCGCGGGGCAACCUUGCGGCGAUUGGCGAACGGGUGAGUAAUAUAUCGGAACGUACCCAGAAGUGGGGGAUAACGUAGCGAAAGUUACGCUAAUACCGCAUACGAUCUACGCAUGAAAGUAGGGGACCGCAAGGCCUUAUUCUUUUGGAGCGGCCGAUAUCUGAGUAGCUAGUUGGUGAGGUAAAGGCUCACUAAGGCGACGAUCAGUAGCUGGUCUGAGAGGACGACCAGCCACACUGGAACUGAGACACGGUCCAGACUCCUACGGGAGGCAGCAGUGGGGAAUUUUGGACAACGGGCGCAAGCCUGAUCCAGCAAUGCCGCGUGAGUGAAGAAGGCCUUCGGGUUGUAAAGCUCUUUUGUCAGGGAAGAAACGGUAGAGGCUAAUAUCCUUUGCUAAUGACGGUACCUGAAGAAUAAGCACCGGCUAACUACGUG